rnacentral:rRNA from 1 species
UACGGAGGGUGCAAGCGUUAUCCGGAUUCACUGGGUUUAAAGGGUGCGUAGGUGGAGUGGUAAGUCAGUGGUGAAAUCUCCAAGCUUAACUUGGAACUGCCGUUGAUACUAUCAUUCUUGAAUUAUCGUGGAGGUAAGCGGAAUAUGUCAUGUAGCGGUGAAAUGCUUAGAUAUGACAUAGAACACCGAUUGCGAAGGCAGCUUGCUACACGAUCAUUGACACUGAGGCACGAAAGCGUGGGGAUCAAACAGG